CGCCGCCGGCCAUGGCUGGGAGCGAGGAGGCGGUAGAGGUCGGUGCACGGACGAAUCGAGUCGAGUCGAGGAAGACGGAGAAAGUCGGGGACGGGUACACACCUACGGGAUGUGCUAUGGGGGCUUGGACAAAUAUAAGAGACGUUGUGGGCCUGGCCCAAGCUUUGGUUGCAUCUGGAAAGGCUCUGAUCAAGUUAGUAGCCCAAGCAAAACCGACAUACGUUUCCCCCCCAAAAAAAAAGCAAUACCGACAUACGGAAUUCCCUAUUUGACGCAUUUUGCGUCAAACUGUCGGGGCACCGCACACCCUUCGCCCGUAUUUGGGCCGGCCUUUUUUUCCUGUUUCUUGUUUCGACCGACCACGUCUGUUUCCUCGUUCCCCUUUCUUCCUCGUGCGACUGCUUUGUCUCGAUUCCUUCUCUGCUUCGUCCUCUCGAUUCCUCUUCCUUCCUCUCGAUUCUUCGCCGUGGUCUUGAUUCCUUCCUCCUUCGUGCAUCUCGGGGCGCUAGGUGCUCUGGUUCUUCAUCUUCUCUCCCCUUCCUGCAAAUCUCUGGGAUGGAAGUUAGGGUUAGCUGAUUUGUUCUCUGUUGUUGGUAGACGGUGUUUUGGCAACCAAAUUCUGAGGAAUAACACUUCAAUUUUGUGAUAAUUGGUCGAGGUUCGGUUGAGAUCUAACAUAUCAUAGUUCUUCUACAGAUUUGUAGGUAAAUCAUUACAGCAAGUACUUGUCAACUAUUUUCUAUUCUGGUGCUUGACAAUUUUGUUCCUAACCCUUUUUGUGAAUAUGCUUUAAGAUGUUGUCGAUACUUCUACAGAAGUGAACGAGCAUGUCCCUUCAAUUGUGUAGAUGCUCUGAAUUUUCCAUGUAUAUACUUAUGGACCGGCAAUAGUUGUGAAGAUACUGCUGUAGUUUUCUUCUAGCUACUACUGUAAAUGAAUCUCGCUUAGUUUUUCUGGUAAAUGCUCAUAGAUAUAGGAGGUGUUCUUCUCUUGAAAAUCUUAAGUAACCUAGUGUUCAUUUCAACAUUAUUUCGUUUCCAUGCAAAUCAUAUCAUUUUCUAGUUCAUAAAUAGUCAUUACCACUUUUAAUAUGAUUAUCUUCAUGAUACAUUCUACUCUGGUUUUGAAUGUUCAGUUAAUUAAUUUGAAUCACCUCCUAGUUUGUUUGGUAGCUUAAUUAGCAUCCACCUUUCUAAUCAGCAAGUUUUGUGAUGUUAAUUUAACUACGUGUGUACACUGUUUAGCUAACAGUAACUACUUGCUUCCCUAGAAAAAACACCAGCUAGUUGGUUGAUCUGAUUUGCCUGCAUUAUUACUGUACUGAAUUCUUCAUAGACCUUGUUACAUUUGAUACAAAUUAUUUCUGCACUUAGUCGAGUAUUUUUUCCUGUUCAACGAUUUUAGGAAAUCAUUCCUCAAUCUCGGUAGAUUGUUUUCAGAAAGGAAAGGAGUAGUGACAAGUAGUUGAUUACAUUGAUGUGUACUUCCAUUUUUGUCUCAUCAAUGUAUACGUCAGAAAGCAUUCAGUUGUAUAGUUCAUAUAACAGAAUUUAUACCUUGUGGGCAUGUGCUCUAAAUGAUUGCAUUUCUGCUUUUCUUGUUGUUUUCAUGUGUAUCUCACACCACAAUAUUGCAUCAGAAAUAGAGAAGUUGUUUUGAACCAUAUAUUCAUGAUGUUCCUGUUUUGUUUGCUGUCUUCGGGUACUAUAUUCGAAUCACUAUCUAUUUUAUCACGAAUAGAUUGUUGAUUCAGCUUCUAAUAUUAAUUUCGUGCAAAACUGAAUUAAGCAUGAAUAUAACAUUUUUCAAUCCAAGUUUUUCUAAAAAAAUUGAAAAAAAAUCUGAAUCCUAUAGCAAAACUACAGUCACAUAAACUAAUUUCAUUUCAAAAACAAAGCUCUGGUCCAUGAGCAAAAUAACAAAACUAGCACAUUAACCCAGUAGUAGAAGAUGAAACUUUCAAGAAGUGGCGAUUAUUUUUUUACUACUUCUUGGUAUUCUUUUUGAAGGGGAGCCUUGGCGCAGUGGUAAAGCUGCUGCCUUGUGACCAUGAGGUCACGGGUUCAAGUCCUGAAAACAACCUCUUACAGUAAUGUAGGGAAAGGCUGCGUACAAUAGACCCAAAGUGGUCGGACCCUUCCCCAGACCCUGCGCAAGCGGGAGCUACAUGCACUGGGGCUGCCCUUGGUACGACUCAGGAAUUUUCCUUCUUCAGUAUCUUAGCAAGUACAAAGGUCUCGGAAUGGAAGGUUUCUCCAAUGAUGAUUUACAAGCUGUACGAGAGAAAUUCCUUUUUGAGAUCAUAACUUGCAAGGACAAUGAAAUUCAGCUUCCAUUCGUAACUUCUUUCCUACAGAGACAUGGUUUUCGCAUUUUCAAGUGAAGCAUUCAACAUGAUUUCUGCAUUUGAACAAAGCUUUUAGGUAUUGAUUGCCAUUCGUUACUGUCAAGUAUAAUGGAAUUUGCACUACAAGAAGUUCUCCUGAAUUUGCACUGAAAGGAAAAAAAACAUGGCGAAAAUGCUUCAUCCUAGGAAAAAACCAUUUGUUUUUGUUUCCUAGCACAGUUUAGCGGCCGCAAUGCCAGAAUUUUUCCCAACUCAAAGGAAGAGUACUAUGACGAAACUGUUCUGCUGUUUCUUUAUCAUGGUUCCCCAGUGAUACUGUCUUGUAUUAUUUUCACUUGUAAAGAAGGUUUAAAUCCCCCCGCAAAAAAAAGGUUUAAAUCUGCAGAAUAAGUUUGUAAAGGAAGCAGUUCCACGACCAGUAGAAACAGCGAGGAACAACAGAUAAUUGCCCUCUUCUAGUGUUUUAUAUGAAUACAAGGAAAAUUUCACCAUUCUUCUACUUUUUCCCAACUGAAGGGAAAUGAAGAAAUUGUUGUCUUAA